rnacentral:lncRNA from 1 species
CCUACUUUUGAACAUGAUAAAUACAUGUGCCAAUGUCCUUUUGCUAAUUGAAAAUUGAAACAUGUUAUUCAACGAUAAAUGAAGAAUCAUGAAUAAUGUUUAUUAUAUAUAUCAUUUUAAUAUUCACAUUUUAUAAAAAAUUCAAAACAUUUUUUGCAAUUACAUAUUAUUUUACUCAUAUAAGGUUUGAAUAAAGGUGGGGU